GACGAACGCUGGCGGCGUGCUUAACACAUGCAAGUCGAACGGUAAGGCUCCAGCUUGCUGGGGUACACGAGUGGCGAACGGGUGAGUAACACGUGGGUGACCUGCCCUGCACUUCGGGAUAAGCCUGGGAAACUGGGUCUAAUACCGGAUAGGACCGCACCGUGAGGGGGUGGGGGAAAGUUUUUUCGGUGUGGGAUGGGCCCGCGGCCUAUCAGCUUGUUGGUGGGGUAAUGGCCUACCAAGGCGGCGACGGGUAGCCGGCCUGAGAGGGUGGACGGCCACAUUGGGACUGAGACACGGCCCAGACUCCUACGGGAGGCAGCAGUGGGGAAUAUUGCACAAUGGGCGGAAGCCUGAUGCAGCGACGCCGCGUGGGGGAUGACGGCCUUCGGGUUGUAAACUCCUUUCACCAUCGACGAAGGGUUUCUGACGGUAGAUGGAGAAGAAGCACCGGCUAACUACGUG
rnacentral:rRNA from 1 species